GGAUCAUUAGCUCAGUUGGUUAGAUCGGUCGUCUCAUAAGCGAUUGGUCAUCUGUUCAAGUCAGAUAUGAUCCA
rnacentral:tRNA from 1 species